CCUACGGGAGGCAGCAGUGAGGAAUAUUGGUCAAUGGGCGAGAGCCUGAACCAGCCAAGUCGCGUGAGGGAGUACUGCCCUAUGGGUUGUAAACCUCUUUUGUCGGGGAGCAAAAGCCGGACGUGUCCGGCUGUGAGAGUGCCCGAAGAAAAAGCAUCGGCUAACUCCGUGCCAGCAGCCGCGGUAAUACGGAGGAUGCGAGCGUUAUCCGGAUUUAGUGGGUUUAAAGGGUGCGCAGGCGGGGUUUUAAGUCAGCGGUAAAAUCGUGGGGCUCAACCCCAGCCGGCCGUUGAAACUGGGGGUCUAGAGUGGGCGAGAGGUAUGCGGAAUGCGUGGUGUAGCGGUGAAAUGCAUAGAUAUCACGCAGAACCCCGAUUGCGAAGGCAGCAUACCGGUGCACAACUGACGCUCAGGCACGAAAGCGUGGGUAUCGAACAGGAUUAGAUACCCGGGUAGUC
rnacentral:rRNA from 1 species